rnacentral:rRNA from 1 species
GACGAACGCUGGCGGCGUGCCUAAUACAUGCAAGUUGAGCGCUGAAGGUUGGUCCUUGUACCAACUGGAUGAGCAGCGAACGGGUGAGUAACGCGUGGGGAAUCUGCCUUUGAGCGGGGGACAACAUUUGGAAACGAAUGCUAAUACCGCAUAAAAACUUUAAACACAAGUUUUAAGUUUGAAAGAUGCAAUGGCAUCACUCAAAGAUGAUCCCGCGUUGUAUUAGCUAGUUGGUGAGGUAAAGGCUCACCAAGGCGAUGAUACAUAGCCGACCUGAGAGGGUGAUCGGCCACAUUGGGACUGAGACACGGCCCAAACUCCUACGGGAGGCAGCAGUAGGGAAUCUUCGGCAAUGGACGAAAGUCUGACCGAGCAACGCCGCGGGAGUGAAGAAGGGUUUCGGAUCGUAAAACUCUGUUGGUAGAGAAGAACGUUGGUGAGAGUGGAAAGCUCAUCAAGUGACGGUAACUACCCAGAAAGGGACGGCUAACUACGUG